rnacentral:miRNA from 1 species
UUAUCUGGUGAGGGCACUGUGAGGC